GACGAACGCUGGCGGCGUGCUUAACACAUGCAAGUCGUACGGUAAGGCCCUUUCGGGGGUACACGAGUGGCGCAUGGGUGAGUAGCACGUGAGUAACCUGCCCACAACUUUGGGAUAACGCUAGGAAACUGGUGCUAAUACUGGAUAUGUGCUCCUGCUGCAUGGUGGGGGUUGGAAAGCUCCGGCGGUUGUGGAUGGACUCGCGGCCUAUCAGCUUGUUGGUGGGGUAGUGGCCUACCAAGGCGGCGACGGGUAGCCGGCCUGAGAGGGUGACCGGCCACAUUGGGACUGAGAUACGGCCCAGACUCCUACGGGAGGCAGCAGUGGGGAAUAUUGCACAAUGGGCGCAAGCCUGAUGCAGCAACGCCGCGUGCGGGAUGACGGCCUUCGGGUUGUAAACCGCUUUCAGCAGGGACGAAGCUUUUUGUGACGGUACCUGCAGAAGAAGCACCGGCUAACUACGUG
rnacentral:rRNA from 1 species